AAUUCUAUGAGCUGUGGUCCAAGUGUAGUGUCUGUUCUUAUCAGUUUAAUAUCUGAUAUGUUCUUUAUUUGAGAACUGUAUGUUAAAAUGAGCGUGUGUAGUUUCACUACCCCGUAGCUGCCACUGCCACCACAC
rnacentral:snRNA from 1 species